rnacentral:rRNA from 1 species
AGCCUGAUGCAGCCAUGCCGCGUGUGUGAAGAAGGCCUUCGGGUUGUAAAGCACUCAGUCGUGAGGAAGGUAGUGUAGUUAAUAGCUGCAUUAUUUGACGUUAGCGACAGAAGAAGCACCGGCUAACUCCGUGCCAGCAGCCGCGGUAAUACGGAGGGUGCGAGCGUUAAUCGGAAUUACUGGGCGUAAAGCGCAUGCAGGUGGUUUGUUAAGUCAGAUGUGAAAGCCCGGGGCUCAACCUCGGAAUAGCAUUUGAAACUGGCAGACUAGAGUACUGUAGAGGGGGGUAGAAUUUCAGGUGUAGCGGUGAAAUGCGUAGAGAUCUGAAGGAAUACCGGUGGCGAAGGCGGCCCCCUGGACAGAUACUGACACUCAGAUGCGAAAGCGUGGGGAGCAAACAGGAUUAGAUACCCUGGUAGUCCACGCCGUAAACGAUGUCUACU